rnacentral:rRNA from 1 species
CGUUCUGUAAGCCUGUGAAGGUGUGCUGUGAGGCAUGCUGGAGGUAUCAGAAGUGCGAAUGCUGACAUAAGUAACGAUAAAGCGGGUGAAAAGCCCGCUCGCCGGAAGACCAAGGGUUCCUGUCCAACGUUAAUCGGGGCAGGGUGAGUCGACCCCUAAGGCGAGGCCGAAAGGCGUAGUCGAUGGGAAACAGGUUAAUAUUCCUGUACUUGGUGUUACUGCGAAGGGGGGACGGAGAAGGCUAUGUUGGCCGGGCGACGGUUGUCCCGGUUUAAGCGUGUAGGCUGGUUUUCCAGGCAAAUCCGGAAAAUCAAGGCUGAGGCGUGAUGACGAGGCACUACGGUGCUGAAGCAACAAAUGCCCUGCUUCCAGGAAAAGCCUCUAAGCAUCAGGUAACAUCAAAUCGUACCCCAAACCGACACAGGUGGUCAGGUAGAGAAUACCAAGGCGCUUGAGAGAACUCGGGUGAAGGAACUAGGCAAAAUGGUGCCGUAACUUCGGGAGAAGGCACGCUGAUAUGUAGGUGAAGUCCCUCGCGGAUGGAGCUGAAAUCAGUCGAAGAUACCAGCUGGCUGCAACUGUUUAUUAAAAACACAGCACUGUGCAAACACGAAAGUGGACGUAUACGGUGUGACGCCUGCCCGGUGCCGGAAGGUUAAUUGAUGGGGUCAGCGCAAGCGAAGCUCUUGAUCGAAGCCCCGGUAAACGGCGGCCGUAACUAUAACGGUCCUAAGGUAGCGAAAUUCCUUGUCGGGUAAGUUCCGACCUGCACGAAUGGCGUAAUGAUGGCCAGGCUGUCUCCACCCGAGACUCAGUGAAAUUGAACUCGCUGUGAAGAUGCAGUGUACCCGCGGCAAGACGGAAAGACCCCGUGAACCUUUACUAUAGCUUGACACUGAACAUUGAGCCUUGAUGUGUAGGAUAGGUGGGAGGCUUUGAAGUGUGGACGCCAGUCUGCAUGGAGCCGACCUUGAAAUACCACCCUUUAAUGUUUGAUGUUCUAACGUUGACCCGUAAUCCGGGUUGCGGACAGUGUCUGGUGGGUAGUUUGACUGGGGCGGUCUCCUCCUAAAGAGUAACGGAGGAGCACGAAGGUUGGCUAAUCCUGGUCGGACAUCAGGAGGUUAGUGCAAUGGCAUAAGCCAGCUUGACUGCGAGCGUGACGGCGCGAGCAGGUGCGAAAGCAGGUCAUAGUGAUCCGGUGGUUCUGAAUGGAAGGGCCAUCGCUCAACGGAUAAAAGGUACUCCGGGGAUAACAGGCUGAUACCGCCCAAGAGUUCAUAUCGACGGCGGUGUUUGGCACCUCGAUGUCGGCUCAUCACAUCCUGGGGCUGAAGUAGGUCCCAAGGGUAUGGCUGUUCGCCAUUUAAAGUGGUACGCGAGCUGGGUUUAGAACGUCGUGAGACAGUUCGGUCCCUAUCUGCCGUGGGCGCUGGAGAACUGAGGGGGGCUGCUCCUAGUACGAGAGGACCGGAGUGGACGCAUCACUGGUGUUCGGGUUGUCAUGCCAAUGGCACUGCCCGGUAGCUAAAUGCGGAAGAGAUAAGUGCUGAAAGCA